AUGCACAUGUUAACUGAAAUGGAAAAUUCGGCAAUUAGGGAAAUAUAGCAGAGUCAUACUCUAGCAGAGUAUGGAUCUGCUCCAUUUUCAUAAUUGCUCAAUUUUCCUAUUCACUUCAUAUAUGCAUACCACAUGGCCAUUAAAAUAUUAAAGGUUGAUAUUAAAACUUUAAAAACCAAUUCAUUCAUUCAAUAAAAAAGCUUAAAAGCAUUCAUUUCACUACCUCGUUUCAUGAACUUAGUUACCUGGUUCUCAAUACAUAGAGUACGACACUAUCAUUCCAACGCAUUCAACCCCGUGUCAAUCGGAGUUAUUGUCCCCACUUUAUGGUGGAAACGAGAACGCUAAACAUUUUUCCAAGUAUCAUAACCCUCGCUUAGCGAGAUUGGGGCGAGCUCCCAGCGAGGUGAGUCAGAAUGCUCAAGCCUCUGAAUUUUUCCUUAUCUCGCUUAGCGAGACCCAGCGAGGCCUUCAAACGAGAUCCCAACGAGGCUCAUACGAGACAUGUCAGAAUGUCACAUUUCCUCAAGAUCAAUUGUCUCACUUAGCGAGACCUAGUGAGGUCUGGAGAGAAUAGCAUAACAAUUUCUGUUGCAAGCCACUAGUUUGCUCGCCUGGCAAACCAUUCACUCACCUAACGAGACCUGUAGAACUCGGCUAGCAAGGAAACGUUACAGAAGGAAAGAAACAUGCAACAACAAAAUCAUAUCAUAUCAUGUUACACAAACAACAUCAACAUCAUAGGGUAUCACAAUUAAUCAUGGAAGACAAUUAGAAUAUCGUGUAUUAACACAGGUUUCAUGAUUAAAGUCAAACAUACACAAAGUCUUAAUUCCCUUUUCAUGAAAAUUCCCCUCAAAUGCUACAACUACCUAUAAUCCACCUUAGAUUGAUGAAGAUGACGAAGGUUUAAAAUUAAAUCUUGAUGCUUCAAGCUCUUGGUUUUCACUUCCAAGAUUUUCUUUUCUUUCAUCUUCUCUUCUUUUCUCCUCUUCUCUUUCUAUUUCUGUUGUUUUUACUAACAAGGCAAGGUUGGUAAAGAAAGAAGGAUAAGAAAAAUAUCUAUAUGAGAUAUUUUUCUUAGUAGAGCAAUUGAUCAUUCAUAAUGUUAUCACAAUAUUUCUUUCUUUUAGUAAUUAACAAAUAUCAAUUAAAUUGAAUAAAGAAUUAAGCUCAUUUGAGUUCACUAAUUACUCUAUUUGUCUCGGUUGACAAGAAAUAGAGCAUAUAGAAACUAAGUUGAUCUCAAUUGACGAUGAAUAGAGUAUUUAAGAGGAUGUGGGAUAUUACAACGAGUAUAAUAAUUCUAGAUUUUUAAUUAAAAUGUGAAAAAUCAACUUAAUUUAGGCUUUUAUAAAAAAAAUCUCUUUCAACUAAAAACUCUUUUGAGGCAUAGGUAGUAUAAAUCAAUUACGACAAUUGAUUUAAGAAAUCAUAUCCAUUUUAAUUCCAUGGUAGAAAUUGCCUCCAAAAUAAUUCACUGUAAAAAUUGAUAAAGCCUCAAACCAUUUCUUUGAGAAUUUAAUUUCAAAUGUUGAAUCAUAAAUAUGAAAAAGAAUCUCAAAAAAAUGACGUUGUGAUAAUGUGGUAGAAAUAUGAUGAAAUUUUAAAGGGAAAAAGAAAUGAUAUAUAUUUCUUCUUCCAAUCUCGUGUUUCUUAUUUUUCUUUAUUAUUUUUAAUCUUAUGUAUCUGAGUCAUAGUAAUACUCUUUCUUGCUUUAUCAUCUUCUUAGAGUACAAAAUCAAAUGCAAGAAUUGUUAAAUUAGGAAAAGAAAAAAAUGGGUUCUACAACAAUAACUAAAAAAACCUUAAAAACUAGAGCUCUAAUCCCAUUUCCACCUCCCUAUACAUUUGUGAUCAAUGCACUUAGGAACAUAAAGCUCUUCCCAAUAUCGUGGACAAUCUGCGUCAAUUACACAUCCAUCUUGUUCUGUAAUGAAAAAGAUAAUAAAUGAUUCUGUACGAAUUAGGAAUUAAAGAAUGAAACUGGAAAAUUAUGAAAAAAUACUUACCACCACCAACUUCCAUUGCAACAAGAAAUAAGAAAAGAAAUAGAAUCAUAGCAUAACUAAACUUGAGAAUUUUAGCCAUAUUUUUUUUUCUUGUACAUGUUAAACUACAAUAUGAUUUAAUCUCUUAUAUAUGUAAAAUACAUGUUCCCUAAAAACAAUUAAAUACUUUUUAGCUCACCUAGUAUAGAGGUCACAUAAUAGUAUAUGAAUUUUUUUUAACCUUUCGUGAGAGUAAAAUGGAUAUAUAUUUUUUAACAUUUCAUUGCUUCUAACUUUUUAUUCAUCUUUUUACAAAUCUCAAAAGACUAGAUGAUAGUUUUCUUUGGGGACGAUGAUGAAGUUAUUUGUUAGAAAUAAUGCAUCUUUGGGGUGAGAAUAUGUUUAUACACAAGUAGAAUAUAUUGCAAGAUCUAUUAUUUUUUAGUUAACAAAAUUGUUAAUUAGAAAGGAUUGGAUAUUUAAUUUUGUAAUUGCAUCAUAUAUUCUACACUAUCAUUCACAUCUAUGGGUGUAAUGAAUUUGAUUUGAAUCGAUUUUUUAUCAA
rnacentral:lncRNA from 1 species